GAUGUACGCUGGCGUCGUGCCUAAUACAUGCAAGUCGAGCGAACAGACGAGGAGCUUGCUCCUCUGACGUUAGCGGCGGACGGGUGAGUAACACGUGGAUAACCUACCUAUAAGACUGGGAUAACUUCGGGAAACCGGAGCUAAUACCGGAUAAUAUAUUGAACCGCAUGGUUCAAUAGUGAAAGACGGUUUUGCUGUCACUUAUAGAUGGAUCCGCGCCGCAUUAGCUAGUUGGUAAGGUAACGGCUUACCAAGGCAACGAUGCGUAGCCGACCUGAGAGGGUGAUCGGCCACACUGGAACUGAGACACGGUCCAGACUCCUACGGGAGGCAGCAGUAGGGAAUCUUCCGCAAUGGGCGAAAGCCUGACGGGGCAACGCCGCGUGAGUGAUGAAGGUCUUCGGAUCGUAAAACUCUGUUAUUAGGGAAGAACAAAUGUGUAAGUAACUAUGCACGUCUUGACGGUACCUAAUCAGAAAGCCACGGCUAACUACGUG
rnacentral:rRNA from 1 species